CAGGUUUGAAAGCCUAAACAGCAGCAGGAAAUAUGGCAAACAGGUCCGACACUUCGAAUUCCGUCAAGGUGACCCUGUUCAAGAAGGAAUACUUUCAGGGUGAUCGUUUGCAUGUCACGGAGGACAUGACCAAUUUGAAUGAUUUCGAAUGAUCCGCAAAAGUCCACGAGGGAGAUUGGGCGCUGUACAGUGAGGUCAAAUAUUCCGGGAGGCGAAAGAUCCUUAAUGAAGGCAUGGCCUACAGUAGUCUUGGUGAUUUUAAUAACAUGGCUUCAUCCAUUAAAAGAAUUUGAGCUGACGCCAACAUGGUGUAGCAGCUCCUCCUUUGUUGGACAACUCACACUGACAUGGAUGCCCCGCAACACAUACAGCAACAUAUACGCCGUGCUUCAAUAUCUACAGAAGGAAAACAAACACAUCAUUUUAUUGUAAAUUAAUACUCUUAGAGUAAUUUCAACAAUGUACAUCUUUAAGAAGAGAGAAAUAUUUAUAAAUGAAGAUAUAAUAACU